ACAAGAUUUGAUGGAUGCAAUGUA
rnacentral:siRNA from 1 species